UCAGCUUCACAAGAGCAUGCAUCAAUGCCGAAAAAAGGAAAUACGCGGUUUGCAACUUGUGUUCCUAAAUAAAUCACUGAGUAAAUCCAUCCUUUCCACUUCCAAUCAACCUCGGGUCCUUAAAAAAAUCAAUGCUUUCUCUUUUCCCAUUCCUUAUUCAUCUCAUAUUCCAUGUAUUCCGAUGCAUCUUUCCAUCGAUUCACUUCAACUGUCAUCAAUGGUUUAUCUUUUCCCAAACCCGAGUCAGUAAUAUGUUGAUUUGUGUUGAAUUCGUAUCUAUAAAUAGGUCAAUUUUCAGACGGUGUCGGGUGAAGGUGAUUCAUGUGUUUUGCGUAAUAGUGGCGAGAUCAUUUGGUGAAAAAUUGAUGGGACUGGGUAGAGGUAGGGUUCCAUUUGGUGCACUCAACAACAAAUCGGAAGUCAAUGAUGUUAGUAGUGGUGGUUCUUCCGAUGGAUCUGAAGGUAGUAUUGUCGAUUUUACUGAAGAGGAAGUAGAUGCUUUGUUGGAUGAGAAGAUGAAAAGGGAGAGAUUCCUCGUGAUACUGAGAAGAAAUGGAGAAUGUGGUGGAUCUCAUCAAGAGACUUAAGCAAUGUGUAAGAUGAUUUAAGGGAAGAAAAUAAAAGCUUCAGACAGAUCUUGAAUCGACUAAGAAGAAAUACAGUGAUAGUGCUGUCUAUAUGGCGUUGCAAUGACGAGGUUCGUGUUAGGGCUGAUGAGCUCCGUAGAUCAUGUAAGAGAGAUGCAGAACAUUAUAUUUGUA